UGUCUUGCCUGCAAGUGCUGCAAUGAGCAAGUGGCUGCACCUGUGGUUUGAAUCAGAUGUUGGCAAUCAGGUAAUUAGUGCUCUGGUACAUAGUGUGGUCCCUGUGGUUGAGGAGUGUUAGUUGGAUUUAGACUGGUUGCUGGUCUUAUUGUUGUGAAGCCUUACAGUUAAUUUUCUAAAGGAUCUCUUGGGUUGACACCUUGCUUCACUGAGUGGUUGUGCUUUACUGAAUUUUUCCAUUGCUGAAGAAUCCAUCAGAGCCUUUGGGAAAUUGAAGCUGGCAUUUCAGAGGGAGGACAAGGCAUUAUAAACUCCUGACUCUUUCUCCCACUGCCCACAGCUAUUGCAGCUGAGGUCAUCCAGCUAAUAAGCAGCAAGAGCACAUCACAACUGAGACAAACAAAUCAAGCAAAUGAAGCAGCUGAUAAGAGACAACCACUGAAGAAAUUAAUUGCUCUUCUCAAGACUUCUUUAAUUUCAUUAACAGUGUUGUUUGUUUGUUCUACUUUUUCUUCAAGCUUUUUUUUAAAGGUUUCUGUGAUUUCUUCAUGUGCCUUUCACUGCCAGGAGUACCCACAUACAUUCAGAUGGGUACUUUAUGUAUGAUUUUUCUUCAUCAGUUCAAAAGACAAUCAUGAUAUGGACAUAAAUUAAAUGGAAAGGUCUCUGCCUCUUGUAUGGAAAUUAAUUUAAUGAUGAGAUUUUCUUGACAUGCGUUUCUUCCUAAUAAAACCUGACCAUUCUUCUCAUAAAAA